CAAUGAAGGAAGCAUGGUAAUGUGCACAGAAAUUGAAUUAGGUCUCUAGGCCAGGCCCUCUCUGACGCCAUUUGGCUUUGAUUUGGGGGCAUGGUUCCACAGCAAAACA